ACAGAGGUGGCAAGCGUUGUCCGGAAUUACUGGGCGUAAAGAGCGCGUAGGUGGCUAGAUAAGUCCGGUGUGAAAUCCUUCGGCUUAACCGGGGAAUGGCAUCGGGGACUGUAUAGCUAGAGGACGGAAGAGGAGAGCGGAAUUCCCGGUGUAGCGGUGAAAUGCGUAGAGAUCGGGAGGAAGGCCGGUGGCGAAAGCGGCUUACUAGACGACAACUGACGCUGAGGCGCGAAAGCUAGGGGAGCAAACAGGA
rnacentral:rRNA from 1 species